UGCACUGCACAAUGGAUAUCUUUUCAGUUUUUCUCUUCUACAGUCUGGCAUCUGCUGUCUCUGGAAACGUUAUCACACCAGACAAAACAGAGCUUUCUGCUGAGGAGGGUUCAAGUGUUACAUUAUCCUGUAGUUAUUCCUCUGCAGAUUAUCUAUACUGGUACCGUCAAUAUCCUGGUUCAACUCCUGAAUUUCUUGAGCUCAUCCUUGAUGGUACAACAACCACCAAAAAGUCUGAUGUAGAUCCAAGACUCUCAGUUAAACUCACUAAACAAGAACAAAAGCACUUGGAUCUGGAGAUCACCUCUGCUACGGUGUCAGACUCUGCUCUGUAUUACUGUGCUCUGAGGCCCACAGUCACAGGAAACAUUUGGGUUCGUAAAUUACGUGUCUUUAGUUUGAACAUCUCCCACUGCGCUGAUAAAGUACCAAUUACUUAUGAUACUGUAAGUAGCGAUAUUGAAUAUUUGAUCGCCAACAUAUUUCCCAAGCUGUCAUUCAAACAAUUUUUAUACAAAUUAAAAAUGAAGGGAAAACAUGCCUAAGAUAUAUAUAUAUGCUAAAGCCGUCAGCUUAAUUAACAGGCAUAAAAGGCAGCUCUCUUUUAACACAGACUUUUAAGAAGGGAUGGUUUGCUCCAAGUGAUAGGCCAGGUAAGUGAAGUUACAUUAUCUUGCUGUAUGUGUAUCGUUUUCUUUACUUUUCUGA